UGGCGGACGAGGUGAGUAAUGUCUGGGAAACUGCCUGAUGGAGGGGGAUAACUACUGGAAACGGUAGCUAAUACCGCAUAACGUCGCAAGACCAAAGAGGGGGACCUUCGGGCCUCUUGCCAUCGGAUGUGCCCAGAUGGGAUUAGCUAGUAGGUGGGGUAAAGGCUCACCUAGGCGACGAUCCCUAGCUGGUCUGAGAGGAUGACCAGCCACACUGGAACUGAGACACGGUCCAG
rnacentral:rRNA from 1 species